UGAAACCCAAAAUACUUGCUGCCUGGCCC
rnacentral:piRNA from 1 species